GACGAACGCUGGCGGCGUGCUUAACACAUGCAAGUCGAACGGAAAGGCCCUGCUUUUGUGGGGUGCUCGAGUGGCGAACGGGUGAGUAACACGUGAGUAACCUGCCCUUGACUUUGGGAUAACUUCAGGAAACUGGGGCUAAUACCGGAUAGGAGCUCCUGCUGCAUGGUGGGGGUUGGAAAGUUUCGGCGGUUGGGGAUGGAGUCUCGGCUUAUCAGCUUGUUGGUGGGGUAGUGGCUUACCAAGGCUUUGACGGGUAGCCGGCCUGAGAGGGUGACCGGCCACAUUGGGACUGAGAUACGGCCCAGACUCCUACGGGAGGCAGCAGUGGGGAAUAUUGCACAAUGGGCGGAAGCCUGAUGCAGCAACGCCGCGUGCGGGAUGACGGCCUUCGGGUUGUAAACCGCUUUCGCCUGUGACGAAGCGUGAGUGACGGUAAUGGGUAAAGAAGCACCGGCUAACUACGUG
rnacentral:rRNA from 1 species